rnacentral:rRNA from 1 species
GACGAGCCACACGAACGUUAUUCGGAAUUACUGGGCUUAAAGGGUGCGUAGGCUGCGCGGAAAGUUGGGUGUGAAAUCCCUCGGCUCAACCGAGGAACUGCGCCCAAAACUACCGUGCUCGAGGAAGAUAGAGGUAAGCGGAACUUACGGUGGAGCGGUGAAAUGCGUUGAUAUCGUAAGGAACACCUGUGGCGAAAGCGGCUUACUGGGUCUUUUCUGACGCUGAUGCACGAAAGCUAGGGGAGCAAACGGGAGUAG